rnacentral:rRNA from 1 species
UAAAGAAAGCGUAAUAGCUCACUGGUCGAGUCGGCCUGCGCGGAAGAUGUAACGGGGCUAAACCAUGCACCGAAGCUGCGGCAGCGACGCUUAUGCGUUGUUGGGUAGGGGAGCGUUCUGUAAGCCUGUGAAGGUGUGCUGUGAGGCAUGCUGGAGGUAUCAGAAGUGCGAAUGCUGACAUAAGUAACGAUAAAGCGGGUGAAAAGCCCGCUCGCCGGAAGAC